rnacentral:rRNA from 1 species
GACGAACGCUGGCGGCGUGCCUAACACAUGCAAGUCGAGCGGGAACCUCAGGAGGGGUAACCCUCCUGAGGGGAGAGCGGCGAACGGGUGAGUAACACGUGGGCAACCUGCCCCGGACACCGGGAUAACCCAGGGAAACCUGAGCUAAUACCGGAUACUCCGGCGCGAUCGCAUGGUCGCGCCGGGAAAGCUCCGACGGUCCGGGAUGGGCCCGCGGCCUAUCAGCUUGUUGGUGGGGUAACGGCCCACCAAGGCGACGACGGGUAGCUGGUCUGAGAGGACGGCCAGCCACACGGGGACUGAGACACGGGCCAGACUCCGACGGGAGGCAGCAGUGGGGGAUCUUGCGGUAAUGCGCGAAAGCGUGACGCAGCGACGCCGCGUGGGGGAUGAAGGCGCUCGGGUUGUAAACCCCUUUCGGCAGGGACGAAGCGAAAGUGACGGUACCUGCAGAAGAAGUCCCGGUUAACUACGUGCCAGCCGCCGCCGUAACAC